rnacentral:rRNA from 1 species
GGAGAAUGAAGCUUCGGCUGAUUUUUCUUGAUAUGGCGCUGGAUAGCGGCAAACGGGUGAGUAACGCGUGGGUAACCUACCUUGAGGAGGAAGAUAGCUUCGAGAAAUCGGAGAUAAUAUUCCAUAGUCCCUUGGGUUUAUGACUCAAGGGCAAAGAUGGCCUCUAUUUAUAAGCUGUCACCUUAAGAGGGGCCCGCGUCCCAUCAGGUUGUUGGUGGGGUAACGGCCUACCAAGCCGAAGACGGGUAGUUGGCGUAAGAGCGUGACCAACCACAUCGGGACUGAGACACUGCCCGGACUCCUACGGGAGGCUGCAGUCGAGAAUCUUUCCCAAUGGACGAAAGUCUGAGGAUGCGACGCCGCGUGAGGGAUGACGGCCUUCGGGUUGUAAACCUAUUUUAUUGAGGAGGAACGCUAUUUAGUUAACAGCUUUUUAGUCUGACUGUACUCAAUGAAUAAGCCACGGCUAACUCCGUGCCAGCAGCCGCGGUAAUACGGAGGUGGCAAGCGUUACUCGGUUUGACUGGGUGUAAAGGGUCCGCAGGCGGUUAUAUAAGUGAAAGGUGAAAUCUUUCGGCUCAACCGAAAAAUUGCCUUUUAAACUAUAUAACUUGAGGAUGGAAGAGGAGAGUGGAACUGUCGGUGGAAAGGUGAAAUUUGUGGAUAUCGACAGGAACGCCCGUGGGGAAGCCGGCUCUCUGGUCCAUACCUGACGCUCAGGGACGAAAGCUAGGGGAGCAAACAGGAUUAGAUACCCUGGUAGUCCUAGCUGUAAACGAUGGGCACUAGGUGUUCGUCCGUAAGGAUGGGUGCCGCAGUUAACACAUUAAGUGCCCCACCUGGGGACUACGGCCGCAAGGCUAAAACUCAAAGGAAUUGACGGGGGCCCGCACAAGCGGUGGAACACGUGGUUUAAUUCGAUGCUACGCGAGAAACCUUACCAGGGUUUGACAUGCUAGAAGUAGUAUCCCGAAAGGGAGUCCGACCGGUAACCAAUCCGGAACUAGCACAGGUGCUGCAUGGCUGUCGUCAGCUCGUGCCGUGGGGUGUUCCCUUAAGUGGGAGAACGAGCCAACCCUCGCCUUUAGUUGCCACUUUUGAUUUAUUUCAAGAAGCACUCUAAAGGGACUGCCCGCGUUAAGUGGGAGGAAGGUGGGGACGACGUCAAGUCCGCAUGGCCCUUAUGUCCUGGGCGACACACGUGUUACAAUGCCUGUCACAAAGGGAAGCUAAGCCGCGAGGUGGAGCAGAUCCC